UACAGAAGUCCCAAGCGUUGUUCGGAUUCAUUGGGCGUAAAGGGUGCGUAGGCGGCGCGGUAAGUCGGGUGUGAAAUCUCGGAGCUUAACUCCGAAACUGCAUUCGAUACUGCCGUGCUUGAGGACUGGAGAGGAGACUGGAAUUUACGGUGUAGCGGUGAAAUGCGUAGAUAUCGUAAGGAAGACCAGUGGCGAAGGCGGGUCUCUGGACAGUUCCUGACGCUGAGGCACGAAGGCCAGGGGAGCAAACGGG
rnacentral:rRNA from 1 species